GAUCUAAAGAUGGUACCAGAGAUUUUUCUCUUUGUUGCUACACUUUUACCUUUGGUAACCAUUUCUGCAAAAUAGUUGGAUCCAAACAAGUUGUCUUUGAAACAUUUUGACUAAAUUGUAUAGUGAGAAGACUUCUGCUUCCAGACAUGGUAAAGUGACAGGGACCAAAUCCUAAACAAGGCAUGAGAAAAAAACAAAGAUGGUGAGAUCUGUUGAGAUCUGUAAAGGAUACAGAGAUGGAAGAAGCAGCAACACGUGAGAGCUCUGGAGAAUGGAAUGGGGAGUACAUCACUCCACGGAAUCUCUUUGCUACUGUUUUCUUUAGAAACAACUCACAGUUGUGUGGGCUGGCAGAAGAGGAGAAAACAGUUCCUGCAUCCCAACCAGAGAGAAAUUUGACUUCAAGAAAGGAAACCGCCUCCAAGGAAGAACAAAAAGAAACCAGUGCCUCUCCAAAGGCUAUCAGAGGCUAGCAAGCAAGAGACCAGGUUAGUUUGAGAUAUCGUGGCUCUUAAUGUAAUAAAUAGUAAAAUUAUGUUAUAUUAUUAUUGAGA
rnacentral:lncRNA from 13 species